GGGUUGGAAGAAACUUUAAAUAUCAUCUAGUUCCAAUUCAUUAUCAAGGACAGAGACAUGAAUAAUAAUAAUAAUAAUGGAUCACAAAAAGAGGAGCUUUGGUUUUGAAUCAAAGCAUGACUGUCAACUGCUUGAUACCAGUGUUGCCAUGUUUGGCAAUUUUGCAAACAAUACCAUGUUUAAUCAUCAUUUGUUGGAGGAGGAACAAAGAAAUAUGAGGCUGUGUCCUGACAAGACACAAACUUUACAGUUCACCACACCACAUCAUUUUUCUCAAUUCAUAUUACCAACCCAUGGCAUUCUGAAGGACUAGCAAUCCUUCCCUCAACUUUGGGAAGGAUUAGUACUUAAAGACCAAGGUAGUAUCACUGUGUGGAAGAAAGUUUCAUAGUAAAAAGGACAUGGGAACUCUUGGCAUUUAUCCCAUGGAUAGUGAUGAAGCUUUGUUUUUUGAAUAUGAUUUGACACAUUCUAAGUCAGUAGGAAGUAACAUUUUGUAGCUUUUAUUGAUUUUCACAAUGGAAUUCUGAAGCAUUUCCGUUUUAUUAUUUUUGACACUUGAGAUAGCUUUAUACUAUACAUAUAAUAAUAAUAUAAAUUAUGAUAAAAAUAUAUCAGUAGUAAAUGAAUUAAUGCAUUUGUAUUGUAGUAAAUAAUGGCAUCCUGUUGUACUAAAUACCGGAUAGAUAUAAUUAAGAAGAUUGAUUUUCUCAGAGACCUCCCCUUUUCACUUAUAUUUUCUGAAUUUAUAAAAAUUAAUUCCCAAUUAGCUAUAUUGGUAUUUAAUUCAAAAUGUUAACCUGGCAAGAACAAUUUUUCCUGGAAUAUUUGGCAAAAUAUUCUGGUGUUCUUCUGGCCUAACACAUCCUGAGAUAUAAACAAUAUAAUUUGUUGGAAAGAUGAAAAUUGAUAUUUAAAAAAUGGGUAUUUGGGUUUGAUUUUAUGGUUGUGGGGCAGAGAUUUGUUUCCUUAUUUUCCUAUAGCUAGGUUUCAUGACAUCAAAGGUCAUGUUAGAGAAAUAGUGUCUAGAAAUAGAUGGGCAGUAAUGGUUCAAAUGUUCAAGGAGAGAAAUGGAUGCUGACAAUGAAUGCUGCAUAUAAAAUAUGAAGGACCUUGUGUUCACAAGAGUCAAAGUGAGAAAGAGUAUAAGAAUUAAUUUUUAGAAUUUUAUUAAGCUUAACUUGCUCAAAUUUCAGCUUAUGAAGAAAAAUUUUUCCCACAGUGGCUUUGUGUUUUCAAAAGGCCUUAUUUUUAGCUAAAGCAAUCAACACUUGUGGCUCUGCUGACACAUUUUGUGAUGAGGAACAGAGGCUUGUUGACAGGGAAAUCUUGCAGCAUGGUUGUGUCCACUAUUUCUGAGAACAUGGAUAUUUCUGGAAUGAGAGAGUCGGAUAGGGCCAUCUUGGAGCUGCAGGUUGUGAAGCAUGCGAGGAAGCCAUCCAGCCUCCUGCUUAGCUGUUCACUCACAAGGAAUGUCACCCAACGUUCCCAGCUGCAAGCUCUGUCUCACAGAUGGUGCCACCCACACAUUGCAGAGAGGCCCAGGAGUGUGACAAUAACUCUGCUACACUGGCUGUUGUGAAUUAGCUGGUGCUGCCACUUUGUUCAGUAUCGUGGCUACCUUCCAUAUGGUGCCAUGGAAUAAUCCCUUACCUAACAAAUCCCGUGAAGUCCAGCCUGAAUUGACCAGAAUAAGAUCUACCUGGGUCACUUUCACACAAGCUACUGUUACACAAUUUUCCAUGCACUGCUUAUUCUCUGAAUUUCCUCAUGGAGCAAGCAGAAUUGCAUGAUGGAGGUUAGGGUGAAGCAGUAGUUGUUGAACAUCUUUCAAAACUUCCAGCCUGGAUGGGCCCAUUUCACCAGCCCCUUGUUUUGGCUAUUUCUACAGUAGCCAUGGUUUCCAACAUUCCCACUGUCUGGUCACUCGAAGCUCUGCACUUAACAGAGAAAUAAACAGGGCAGUGUUUGCUCAGAAUUACAGGAACGACUGUAUUUUUGAUAGACCAAAUUAUAAUGGCAGUUGUGCUGGGAGAUUGUGCCAUCAGCAUCCUGUGUCAGUCAAAGUAAAACACCUUUUUAUCAGGCUUCACAGACUGAAAGCAACUUGUGGCCUCACCUCUCCCAACUGGCAAACAUAAAACUGAAGCAGCCUUGGCAUGUUAUAUAUGUGGGAGAUUGAACCAUGAUAAAGCAGGAGGACAGUAUCCAGCUUGGCAAGCCCUGGAGGCAUGCAUCUGUUCUCAGGCUGAGCCAUCCAGUGCCAUCUCAAGCUCUGAACACUCCUUCUUCCCUGGCACCACAGGAGAAGCUCAUUAUGUAGUACUAUCCAUUUUCCUCAACAUGUCCCCCAAGGUAUGGAAUGAAAUGGCCAAGUUACCUUCAUUGCAGAGGUAAUUAUCUGCAUUUCAUCCAGCAAUAAGGCUUUAGCAGAAAUACAAAUGGAGCAGAUUUGGUCUAUUGAGCAGAAAAGGGAAAAAUGAUGAAAUGUAACAGCUCAAUUUUGUUUGAUACCCUGCUGCUGUUCCUCCAUCUCCAUCUCAGUUUAAUUCCAGCCUCAGUAUUCCAAUAUAAACAGCUCAGUGGCUUUUGCUACAAACUGAGCCCUUACUGAGGUACUCACAGCCUGGAGCUAAGGGGUCUGAGGCUUUUCUAGGCCCCUACAGCUGAUGUAGGGCAUGGCUUAAGGGUUGUUAUGUAACUUCACAAGUGCUGACCCUCAUUAACAUUGUCAUUUGCAGCAAAGGCAUAAUUACAGUCUAGAUUUUAGGCAUUUUUUCAUAAAUGUUGUUGCUGAUUGCCCUGUGUGCAUACUCUGCCUCGUGUGCUCUGCCUUCUCCAUGCAUCGCUCUUCAGUGGGAAAUGUUUCCAGCUACACGAGCAACUGACAUGCAGGCACAGCCACAUCACAUCCUGGGGAUAAUUUUAAGUCUGUUGUAAAGACCAGACUUAAUCUCUGUGCAAACUGUAGCUCUCCCGGUGUAGGUGGCAGGUGGGAUUGGAAAUAUAUUUUGCAUUUUGUGUCUUGGUUUAGCACUGGUCAGGCCCAGAGAGGCCUCAAUGUACAUCAAGUGGACAGGGCUUUUGGAACCUGUCAACCACAGUAGACAGACUACAGACAGAGCUUCCUUCACAACAGCCAUGUGCCAAGAACAUGCCGACAACCCUCUUCCAUUUCUCAUCCCCAGUCAUGCUUUUUAAGCAGAAAAGUUAGAAAAUUGUAUAAUUUUUAUGCCCUGUAUUUAUUUUAAACUACAUUCUUUUGCACAGCAGGUGAAAAAAUGCCAGUUCAGAAAGCUGUCUUUGUAGUCAUAAAUUGUUCCUUUGAGUAUUUAAAGAAAGAUGUGCUUAUCAAAGUUGAAAUAAAAGUUUAUUAUCAAGUAACACUUAACAUUAAAAUUACAUUUUAUAAUUAAAUUUUAUUUUGGCUCUGCUGCGUGCCAGAAAGCAUGAAGGAGUGUUUGUUAUGCUUUCGGCAGAACUUCCCUGGGAAUGAUUGUCCUGUGCUGGCUGGGCAAUGGGUGUUUGACAGCAACCCUGUGGAGAAAGACUUUGGGAUAUUGGUGGCUAAAAAACCAUUAAGAUGAGCUGUCACUGUGCAUUCACAGCCGCAAAAGCCAAAUGUUUUCUGUGGCCAUCAGGUUGACAGAGGUGAUUCCCGCCCUUGACUCUGCUCUCCUGGGACCCCAGCUGGAAUACUGUGAGCAGCUCUUGGGUUCCAGCACAGGAAAGUCAUGGACACGCUCAAGCAGGUCCCAAGGACAGUUGUGAUCAUGAUCAGGAGCCUGCAGCACCUCCCCCAUGAGAACACUGAGGGUUGGGAUUGUGUAGCCUGGCAAAGAGAAGGCUCUGUAAAAUCUUACAUCAGCCUUUCUGUACCUAGUGAGGGGUCUACAAGAAAGGUGGGGAGGAUUUCCUAGGGAUUGGAGGAAUAGGAUAGGGGUAAUGCUUUAAACCAGAAUAGCGUAGGUCUAAACCUUAGAUUUAGGGAAGAAAUUCUUCACUGUGAAACUAGUGAGACACUGGAACAAUGUCCACUUCUCCACAGCAGAGAAGUUGUGGAAGACACAUUCCUGGCAGUGUUCAUGGUCUUGUUGAAUGGGGCUUUGAGAAACCCUGUCUAAUGUCCCUGUCCAUGACCAUGGGUGUAUGAACUAGGUGGUCUUUGAAGGUGCCUUCUCACCCAAACCACUCACUGUGAGGGUUCAAUGAUGAUGAAAAUAAUUCUUCCAGGUACUCAGUUAGAAAGGUCCAACAGCAGCUGGCUUAAUAAAACAGCUGUUUUCAUAAAAUAGAAUGAAUGAAUGAAUGAAUGAAUGAAUGAAUGAAUGAAUGAUAGAUACAUAGAUACAUAGAUACAUGGAUGAGCAUAUAUAACAAGAAAACUUUACAUCCUUUCAGAUGCUGGGAACUCUGCUUUUGUGCACCAUUAGGCAGACCUUGAAUGGAUCUUCCCACAGUGCAAUUGCAGAGCAAUUGGUUCAUCUUUUUGGUUCAUGGAGAGAGAGGGCUUUUCUUUUUUGUCCAUCAAGCAAUUGUAUAAAAUUUCUUACAAGGAAACAACUUUAUUUCUAAAGGAUGUUCAAAUGAGAGCUUCUUGCUAGGCUGUGAAAUAAAGUCCCAGUUUCAACCACUCAUAUUAGGAGGAUUAGUAGCAGGUGUAUAACUCCCUCUAAGAACCAGCUAAUCAGAAACAUAGCACUGAAGUAUUUUUCCUGAUGGAGGAGUCUUAACACUUUAGUGCUAAGCACUGAAGUUUUGCUCAGCUGCAGUACUUCUUGAUGUCCUGUUUUCCUGACUGCUUUCCAGUGUAGACUUAUGUUUCAUUGAAUAAAGAAUGCCAUUGAAAUACACUCCUCAAAUCAUUAUCCAACCAGGCUACCUGGUGUCAGAUAUGCACAUAACUACAUGCUACAAGUUCUCACCCUAAAGCUGAUCUAUACUGAUAUUGUGCAUAUAUAUUGCCCUGAAUAAGGACAUAAAGGACAAAUCCAGCUCUAAGUGGUGAUGCUGGACAAUUUUCAGUGACCACAGUGGGCAAUAAGAGCCAUUGGUCAACCCAAAGGAUUAAGUAAUAAGUAAGUCCAAGGGAAUAAGUCAAAAGAUUAUAGGAAAGCUUAAAUCAACUUGUUGGGGAGAAAAAGGAAAAGCACCAAGUCCCCCAUCAAUAAUAAUUAUUUACGGAAAUUUUGACAUUUUGUUAGAGUCACUGUAGGUAAAAUAUUUAAUGAAUUUUAAAUGCAUUUUACACUGAGCAAGGUUUUACCUUGAUCUGUUGUUCUUAUUUCUGCUUCCUUUUCCUACAUAUUAUUUCACAAGCAAAAUUCACAGUUUGUCUUUCAGACCGAGUAUAUUUCUCCUUUUGGUGAAAAAGAAACAGUGAGGUCAGAUGGCUUGGUUCCCCAGUAAGUAGAGUGCAACCUUUUUUUUCAGAGAUGUGGGAAACCACACACAUGAACAACAGGAGGAGAGAAAGAGUAAAUAGUACUCUUCACAUGCAAGCUUUAUUUGCAAAACAUACUGAGCUAUCUGAGAGGCACAACUACAAAAUCUAGGGGACAGUGGUAUUAAUAAGGCACUAAAUGAAAAAAAUUAUUUAAUCUGCACACCUUUUCUAAUAUAUCUUUCUCUAAAUCUGCUUUCAGAAUUUAUAAUCACAGCUGUAAAGACAGAAAGUGCUAAAGCAAAUGCAGCUCUCACUGAUGCAUGUCACAGGGCAGGCUGUGAUAGUUUUAAAUCACAACAGUGUAGGAUGUAGUCAUGGAAAAAAACCCCAAAUCUGAUUAGAUGCAUGCAACAGCUUUGUCUACUUAAUAUCCAGACUGAGAAAUUAGUGUUCAUUAAGCAAACUGGUUUUAUUCCAGCAGUGGAAGUUUUCAAUUACUAGAGCUAGAUCAGAUCCAGGGAUAAUUUAGUAUCAGCACAUUUCUGAUUGAAGGCUUUGUGCCACAAAGCAUCUGACAAGGCUAAGAGGUUCUUUUCUUAUGCUAUUUCCUUACAAUUGAUUUCUCUCCCUGCUUUGCAUUUUCACAAAAUUAAUAUUUUAUCUUUGCUAAUUUAAUGCCAUUCUUACUUCUGCUUAUGUGUAAUUUCUUUCCUCUUGACCAAAAAAAAAAAAAAAAAAAAAAA
rnacentral:lncRNA from 1 species